UCCUCGUGCCCAGGUCUCGGUUUCUAAACGGCAGCCGCCACCACGCGCUCUUCUGGGAAACGGCCGGUCCCGGGCUGGACCCGCUGCGCUCGGGAGGAGCCUAGAACGUGUGUCCCGGUCAGGAGAGAAGCAGCGCUCAAAGAACGGUGGAGACGCACCAGAAGGGCGCAGAAGUCAGCCGGAAGGGCCACCAGAUGUGGGACCAGGAUAAAACAGAGAACCGCGACUCCACACCGGUUCUACAGUUUUCUUUCCUUCCCUGUCUCACUGAGCCGACCAGCGUCUUCACUGCCACGUGACGGGGCAGUGCCAAGACCUGAUGUCCUCUGAGUUCUCCUUGAUUUCAAGAGACUGUUUUUAAUGUUUUACCAUUACGUUUAAGGUGUGCUGUUGUUUUGAUUGAUUUUUAAAAUAAAUUGUCUUCGUUAUGCUAA